rnacentral:rRNA from 1 species
AUUGAACGCUGGCGGCAGGCCUAACACAUGCAAGUCGAGCGGAUGAGGGGAGCUUGCUCCUGGAUUCAGCGGCGGACGGGUGAGUAAUGCCUAGGAAUCUGCCUGGUAGUGGGGGAUAACGUCCGGAAACGGGCGCUAAUACCGCAUACGUCCUGAGGGAGAAAGUGGGGGAUCUUCGGACCUCACGCUAUCAGAUGAGCCUAGGUCGGAUUAGCUAGUUGGUGGGGUAAAGGCCUACCAAGGCGACGAUCCGUAACUGGUCUGAGAGGAUGAUCAGUCACACUGGAACUGAGACACGGUCCAGACUCCUACGGGAGGCAGCAGUGGGGAAUAUUGGACAAAGGGCGAAAGCCUGAUCCAGCCAUGCCGCGUGUGUGAAGAAGGUCUUCGGAUUGUAAAGCACUUUAAGUUGGGAGGAAGGGCAGUAAGUUAAUACCUUGCUGUUUUGACGUUACCAACAGAAUAAGCACCGGCUAACUUCGUG